rnacentral:rRNA from 1 species
UUAAGCGACUAAGCGUACACGGUGGAUGCCCUGGCAGUCAGAGGCGAUGAAGGACGUGCUAAUCUGCGAAAAGCGUCGGUAAGGUGAUAUGAACCGUUAUAACCGGCGAUGUCCGAAUGGGGAAACCCAGUGUGAUUCGUCACACUAUCGUUAACUGAAUACAUAGGUUAACGAGGCGAACCGGGGGAACUGAAACAUCUAAGUACCCCGAGGAAAAGAAAUCAACCGAGAUUCCCCCAGUAGCGGCGAGCGAACGGGGAGCAGCCCAGAGUCUGAAUCAGCUUGUGUGUUAGUGGAACGGUCUGGAAAGUCCGACGGUACAGGGUGAUAGUCCCGUACACCAAAAUGCACAGGCUGUGAACUCGAAGAGUAGGGCGGGACACGUGGUAUCCUGUCUGAAUAUGGGGGGACCAUCCUCCAAGGCUAAAUACUCCUGACUGACCGAUAGUGAACCAGUACCGUGAGGGAAAGGCGAAAAGAACCCCGGCGAGGGGAGUGAAAAAGAACCUGAAACCGUGUACGUACAAGCAGUGGGAGCACCUUCGGGUGUGACUGCGUACCUUUUGUAUAAUGGGUCAGCGACUUAUAUUCUGUAGCAAGGUUAACCGUAUAGGGGAGCCGCAGGGAAACCGAGUCUUAACUGGGCGUUAAGUUGCAGGGUAUAGACCCGAAACCCGGUGAUCUAGCCAUGGGCAGGUUGAAGGUUGGGUAACACUAACUGGAGGACCGAACCGACUAAUGUUGAAAAAUUAGCGGAUGACUUGUGGCUGGGGGUGAAAGGCCAAUCAAACCGGGAGAUAGCUGGUUCUCCCCGAAAGCUAUUUAGGUAGCGCCUCGUGAACUCAUCUUCGGGGGUAGAGCACUGUUUCGGCUAGGGGGUCAUCCCGACUUACCAACCCGAUGCAAACUACGAAUACCGAAGAAUGUUAUCACGGGAGACACACGGCGGGUGCUAACGUCCGUCGUGAAGAGGGAAACAACCCAGACCGCCAGCUAAGGUCCCAAAGUCAUGGUUAAGUGGGAAACGAUGUGGGAAGGCACAGACAGCCAGGAUGUUGGCUUAGAAGCAGCCAUCAUUUAAAGAAAGCGUAAUAGCUCACUGGUCGAGUCGGCCUGCGCGGAAGAUGUAACGGGGCUAAACCAUGCACCGAAGCUGCGGCAGCGACACUAUGUGUUGUUGGGUAGGGGAGCGUUCUGUAAGCCUGCGAAGGUGACCUGUGAGGGUUGCUGGAGGUAUCAGAAGUGCGAAUGCUGACAUAAGUAACGAUAAAGCGGGUGAAAAGCCCGCUCGCCGGAAGACCAAGGGUUCCUGUCCAACGUUAAUCGGGGCAGGGUGAGUCGACCCCUAAGGCGAGGCCGAAAGGCGUAGUCGAUGGGAAACAGGUUAAUAUUCCUGUACUUGGUGUUACUGCGAAGGGGGGACGGAGAAGGCUAUGUUAGCCGGGCGACGGUUGUCCCGGUUUAAGCAUGUAGGCUGAUUAUCCAGGCAAAUCCGGAUAAUCAAGGCUGAGGUGUGAUGACGAGGCACUACGGUGCUGAAGUAACAAAUGCCCUGCUUCCAGGAAAAGCCUCUAAGCAUCAGGUAACAUCAAAUCGUACCCCAAACCGACACAGGUGGUCAGGUAGAGAAUACCAAGGCGCUUGAGAGAACUCGGGUGAAGGAACUAGGCAAAAUGGUGCCGUAACUUCGGGAGAAGGCACGCUGGUGUGUAGGUGAAGUCCCUGCGGAUGGAGCUGAGACCAGUCGAAGAUACCAGCUGGCUGCAACUGUUUAUUAAAAACACAGCACUGUGCAAACACGAAAGUGGACGUAUACGGUGUGACGCCUGCCCGGUGCCGGAAGGUUAAUUGAUGGGGUUAUCCGUAAGGAGAAGCUCUUGAUCGAAGCCCCGGUAAACGGCGGCCGUAACUAUAACGGUCCUAAGGUAGCGAAAUUCCUUGUCGGGUAAGUUCCGACCUGCACGAAUGGCGUAAUGAUGGCCAGGCUGUCUCCACCCGAGACUCAGUGAAAUUGAACUCGCUGUGAAGAUGCAGUGUACCCGCGGCAAGACGGAAAGACCCCGUGAACCUUUACUAUAGCUUGACACUGAACAUUGAGCCUUGAUGUGUAGGAUAGGUGGGAGGCUUUGAAGCGUGGACGCCAGUCUGCGUGGAGCCAACCUUGAAAUACCACCCUUUAAUGUUUGAUGUUCUAACGUUGGCCCCUGACCGGGGUUGCGGACAGUGUCUGGUGGGUAGUUUGACUGGGGCGGUCUCCUCCCAAAGCGUAACGGAGGAGCACGAAGGUUAGCUAAUCCUGGUCGGACAUCAGGAGGUUAGUGCAAUGGCAUAAGCUAGCUUGACUGCGAGCGUGACGGCGCGAGCAGGUGCGAAAGCAGGUCAUAGUGAUCCGGUGGUUCUGAAUGGAAGGGCCAUCGCUCAACGGAUAAAAGGUACUCCGGGGAUAACAGGCUGAUACCGCCCAAGAGUUCAUAUCGACGGCGGUGUUUGGCACCUCGAUGUCGGCUCAUCACAUCCUGGGGCUGAAGUAGGUCCCAAGGGUAUGGCUGUUCGCCAUUUAAAGUGGUACGCGAGCUGGGUUUAGAACGUCGUGAGACAGUUCGGUCCCUAUCUGCCGUGGGCGCUGGAGAAUUGAGGGGGGCUGCUCCUAGUACGAGAGGACCGGAGUGGACGCAUCACUGGUGUUCGGGUUGUCAUGCCAAUGGCACUGCCCGGUAGCUAAAUGCGGAAGAGAUAAGUGCUGAAAGCAUCUAAGCACGAAACUUGCCCCGAGAUGAGUUCUCCCUGAGACUUUAAGUCUCCUGAAGGAACGUUAAAGACGAUGACGUUGAUAGGCCGGGUGUGUAAGCGCAGCGAUGCGUUGAGCUAACCGGUACUAAUGAACCGUGAGGCUUAACCUU